UGGGGAAUUUUGCACAAUGGGGGAAACCCUGAUGCAGCGACGCCGCGUGAUUUAGAAGGCCUUCGGGUUGUAAAAAUCUUUUUUACGGGAUGAAAAUGACAGUACCGUAAGAAUAAGGUCCGGCUAAAUACGUGCCAGCAGCCGCGGUAAUACGUAUGGACCGAGCGUUGUCCGGAAUCAUUGGGCGUAAAGGGUACGUAGGCGGCCUAGUAAGUUAGAAGUGAAAUAAUAUAGCUCAACUAGAUAAAGCUUUUAAAACUGCUAGGCUUGAGAGAUGGAAGGGAAAGUGGAAUUCCUAGUGUAGCGGUGAAAUGCGCAGAUAUUAGGAAGAAUACCGGUGGCGAAGGCGACUUUCUGGUCAUCAUCUGACGCUGAGGUACGAAAGCGUGGGUAGCAAACAGG
rnacentral:rRNA from 1 species